rnacentral:rRNA from 1 species
GACGAACGCUGGCGGCGUGCUUAACACAUGCAAGUCGAACGGGCCUGCCUGGCUUUGGUUGGGUGGGUGAGUGGCGAACGGGUGAGUAACACGUGAGUAACCUGCCCUCUUCUCUUGGAUAACUGCUUGAAAGGGCGGCUAAUACGGGAUGUUCUGGCUGCCUCGCAUGGGGUGGUUUGGAAAGAUUCGGCCUGGUUUUGGUUGUUUUGGUGGGGGAUGGGCUCGCGGCUUAUCAGCUUGUUGGUGGGGUGAUGGCCUACCAAGGCGGUGACGGGUAGCCGGCCUGAGAGGGUGGACGGUCACACUGGGACUGAGACACGGCCCAGACUCCUCGGGAGGCAGCAGUGGGGGAUUUUGCACAAUGGGCGCAAGCCUGAUGCAGCGACGCCGCGUGAGGGAUGGAGGCCUUCGGGUUGUGAACCUCUGUCGCCGGUGAUGUAGGCUCUGCUUUGUGGGUGGG